UACGUAGGGGGCUAGCGUUGUCCGGAAUCACUGGGCGUAAAGGGUUCGCAGGCGGAAAUGCAAGUCAGAUGUAAAAGGCAGUAGCUUAACUACUGUAAGCAUUUGAAACUGCAUAUCUUGAGAAGAGUAGAGGUAAGUGGAAUUUUUAGUGUAGCGGUGAAAUGCGUAGAUAUUAAAAAGAAUACCGGUGGCGAAGGCGACUUACUGGCCAUUAUCUGACGCUGAGCUACGAAACCGUCGGUAGCAAACAGG
rnacentral:rRNA from 1 species